rnacentral:tRNA from 1 species
GGCGCUUUAGCUGAGCUGGAUAGAGCAUACGCUCCUAAGCGUAAGGUCAUUGGGUCAAAUCCCAUAAGUGCCGCCA